GAGGGUAGGGCUUAAGUGGUAGAGCACAUGCCUAGUACACACAAGGUCCUGGGUUCAAUCCCCAGUACCCCCU
rnacentral:tRNA from 1 species